rnacentral:rRNA from 2 species
AAAUUGAAGAGUUUGAUCAUGGCUCAGAUUGAACGCUGGCGGCAGGCCUAACACAUGCAAGUCGAACGGUAACAGGAAGCAGCUUGCUGCUUCGCUGACGAGUGGCGGACGGGUGAGUAAUGUCUGGGAAACUGCCUGAUGGAGGGGGAUAACUACUGGAAACGGUGGCUAAUACCGCAUAACGUCGCAAGACCAAAGAGGGGGACCUUCGGGCCUCUUGCCAUCAGAUGUGCCCAGAUGGGAUUAGCUAGUUGGUGAGGUAACGGCUCACCAAGGCGACGAUCCCUAGCUGGUCUGAGAGGAUGACCAGCCACACUGGAACUGAGACACGGUCCAGACUCCUACGGGAGGCAGCAGUGGGGAAUAUUGCACAAUGGGCGCAAGCCUGAUGCAGCCAUGCCGCGUGUAUGAAGAAGGCCUUAGGGUUGUAAAGUACUUUCAGCGGGGAGGAAGGUGUUGUGGUUAAUAACCGCAGCAAUUGACGUUACCCGCAGAAGAAGCACCGGCUAACUCCGUGCCAGCAGCCGCGGUAAUACGGAGGGUGCAAGCGUUAAUCGGAAUUACUGGGCGUAAAGCGCACGCAGGCGGUCUGUCAAGUCGGAUGUGAAAUCCCCGGGCUCAACCUGGGAACUGCAUUCGAAACUGGCAGGCUUGAGUCUUGUAGAGGGGGGUAGAAUUCCAGGUGUAGCGGUGAAAUGCGUAGAGAUCUGGAGGAAUACCGGUGGCGAAGGCGGCCCCCUGGACAAAGACUGACGCUCAGGUGCGAAAGCGUGGGGAGCAAACAGGAUUAGAUACCCUGGUAGUCCACGCCGUAAACGAUGUCUACUUGGAGGUUGUGCCCUUGAGGCGUGGCUUCCGGAGCUAACGCGUUAAGUAGACCGCCUGGGGAGUACGGCCGCAAGGUUAAAACUCAAAUGAAUUGACGGGGGCCCGCACAAGCGGUGGAGCAUGUGGUUUAAUUCGAUGCAACGCGAAGAACCUUACCUGGUCUUGACAUCCACAGAACUUUCCAGAGAUGGAUUGGUGCCUUCGGGAACUGUGAGACAGGUGCUGCAUGGCUGUCGUCAGCUCGUGUUGUGAAAUGUUGGGUUAAGUCCCGCAACGAGCGCAACCCUUAUCCUUUGUUGCCAGCGGUUAGGCCGGGAACUCAAAGGAGACUGCCAGUGAUAAACUGGAGGAAGGUGGGGAUGACGUCAAGUCAUCAUGGCCCUUACGACCAGGGCUACACACGUGCUACAAUGGCGCAUACAAAGAGAAGCGACCUCGCGAGAGCAAGCGGACCUCAUAAAGUGCGUCGUAGUCCGGAUUGGAGUCUGCAACUCGACUCCAUGAAGUCGGAAUCGCUAGUAAUCGUGGAUCAGAAUGCCACGGUGAAUACGUUCCCGGGCCUUGUACACACCGCCCGUCACACCAUGGGAGUGGGUUGCAAAAGAAGUAGGUAGCUUAACCUUCGGGAGGGCGCUUACCACUUUGUGAUUCAUGACUGGGGUGAAGUCGUAACAAGGUAACCGUAGGGGAACCUGCGGUUGGAUCACCUCCUUA